ensembl:lncRNA
AUGGUGGACAGGCAGGGAGAGUCGCAGGAGAGUCCAGUCAGGAGAGUCUCUCCAUGGUGGACAGACAGGGAGAGUCAGGCAGGGAGAGUCUCGUCCUGGUGUGACAGGCAGGGAGAGUCUCGUCAUGGUGGACAGGCAGGGAGAGUCUCGUCCAUGGUGGACAGGCAGGGAGAGUCUCGUCCAUGGUGGUCAGGCAGGGAGAGUCUCGUCCAUGGUGGUCAGGCGGCGAGUCUCGUCCAUGGUGGACAGGCAGGGAGAAUCCCGUCCAUGGUGGACAGGCGAGGAGAGUCUCGUACAUGGUGGCAGUCAGGGAGAGUUCGUUCAUGGUGGACAGGCUGGGAGAGUCUCGUCCAUGUGGACAGGCAGGGCGAGUUCUCGUCCAUGGUGGACAGGCAGGGGCAGUCUCGUCCCUGGUUGACAGCGGAGAGUCUCGUCCAUGGUGGACAGGCAGCAGGGAGAGUCUCGUACAUGGUGGAGGCAGGGAGGGAGGAGUUCGUACAUGGUGGACAGGCCGGGAGAGUCUCGUACAUGGUGGACAGGCGGAGAGUCUCGUACAUGGUGGGACGGCAGGGGAGUCUCGUACAUGGUGGCCCGAGCAGGAGAGUCUCGUCCAGGUGGAGGACAGGGCAGGGGAGUCUCGUCCAUGGUGGACAGGCCGGGAGAGUCUCGACAUGGUGGCACAGCCAGGGAGAGUCUCUUACAUGGUGGACAGGCAGGGAGGUCUCGUACUGGUGGACAGGCAGGGGAGUCUCGUACAUGGUGGACAGGCAGGGAGAGUCUCUAAUGGUGGACAGGCAGGGAGAGUCUCGUACAUGGUGGACAGCAAACCCUCAACCUUCUGGCUGUUGGCCCUGCGUGGCAUCAGCGUGUUCACAAAGAAUGCUCGAAGUUGUAAGACGAUAUGCCCAUGAUUAUAAACACGGCUUGCUACAGUUUAUUUAUGGUUGUAACAUCAUUGUUGUUACAUUUUAGAAGGGGGGGGGGGGGUUGGUCACACCAGCAGUGGACAUUGUUUGGUAUGUUUCAUGUGUUUUCUCUUCACGUAUUUAUUAGGUGGGUUUAGUAGGCAGCAAGUCCGCUGGACUUCCUUAGUGGUUACUGGUUACCUGGGUUGUUUCCAGACACGUUGUCAAGGUGAUACAGGUGUAAUAGCUGACUGGACUUGAUCUGAUUAAUGGUACGGAGUGUAUUCACUGGAAAUAACUGAAGCAAACAGGGCAAAACCGGGGUUGUAUCCACCUGAAUAUGUCAAAUAGAAUGAGUGGCAUAAUGAAUAUACCCCAUGCCACAUGAUUCAGGUUGAUCUGUAACACUGGUUACACCACUGAAUGAGUUUGCACUAAUGAAUAUACCCAUGCCACAUGAUUCAGUUGUAUCUGACACUGGACACCACUGAAAUGAGUUGCACAAAUGAAUAUACCCCAUGCCACCAUGAUCAGGUUGUAUCUUUUACACUGGUUACACCACUGAAGAUUUGCACAAAUUAAUACAUCCCAUGCCACAUGAUUCAGGUUGUAUCUGAUAACACUGGUUACACCCUGAAAUGAGUUGCACUAAUGAUAUACCCAUGCCACAUGAUUCAGGUUGUAUCUGUAACACUGGUUACACCACUGAAAUGAGUUUGCACAAUUAAUACAUCCCAUGCCACAUGUUCAGGUUGUAUCUGUAACACUGGUGUCACUACCACUGAAAUGAGUUUGCACUAAUGAAUAUACCCCAUGCCACAUGAUUCAGGUUGUAUCCUGUACACUGGUUUACACCACUGAAAUGAGUUUUGCACUAAUGAAUAUACCCCAUGCCACAUGAUCAGGUUGUAUCUGUAACAUGGUUACACCACUGUAUACGUUUGUUUCACUAAUGAAUUACCCCAUGCCACAUGAUUCAUGUGUAUCUGUAACACUGGUUACACCACUGAAAUGAGUUUGCACUAAUGAAUAUACCCAUGCCACAUGCUUCAGGUAACACUGGUUUACACCACUGAAAUGAGUUUGCACUAAUGAAUAUACCCAUGGCCACAUGAUUCAGGUUGUACUCUGUACACUGGUUAACCAAUUGUAAUACGUUUGCACAAUGAAUAUACCCCAUGCCACCAUGAUUCAGGUUGUAUCUGUAAACACUGGUUACACCACUGAAAUGGUUUGCACUAAUGAAUAUACCCCAUGCCACCAUGAUUCAGGUGUAUCUGUAACACGUUACACCACUGAAAUGAGUUUGCACAAAUGAAAUACCCCAUGCCACAUGUUCGGUUGUAUCUGUAACACUGGUUACACCACGUGAAAUGGUUUUGCACCAAUUAAUACAUCCCAUGCCACAUGAUUCAGGGUGAUCUGUACACUGGUUACACACUGAAUGAGUUUGCACUAAUGAAUUACCCAUGCCACAUGAUUCAGGUUGUAUCUGUAACACUGGUACACCACUUGAAAUGAGUUUGCCACUAAUGAAUCUACCCCAUGCCAACAUGAUUUCAGGUUGUAUCUGUAAUACUGGUUACACCACUGAAAUGAGUUUGCACAAAUUAAUACAUCCCAUGCCACAGAUCAGGUACACUGGUUACACCACUGAAAUGCAGUUUGCACUAAUGAUAUAACCCCAUUGCCACAUUAUUCAGGUUGUAUAUCUGUAACUUGUUACACACUGAAAUGAGUUUGCACUACAUGAAUAUACCCCAUGCCACAUGAUUCAGGUGUAUCUGUAAUACGUACACCACUGAAAUGAGUUUGCACACAAUGAUAAUACACCCAUGCCACAUGAUUCAGGGUAACACUGGUUUAACCACUGAAAUGAGUUUGCACCAAUGAAUACCCCAUGCCACAUGAUAGGUAACACUUGGUUACACCCCGAAAUGAGUUUGCACAAUGAAUAUACCCAUGCCACAUUUUGGAUUUCAGGUAACACUGGUUUACACCACUUCAAAUGAGUUUGCACUAAUGAAUAUACCCCAUGCC